rnacentral:tRNA from 1 species
GUUCGAUCCCGCUAGGCUCCAUAAGAUACGGAAGUAUCUGGUCAACGAAGACGUUAAAAUAGGAAUUGAUCAUUG